GUACACGCUGUGACUAGCAUAUCAAUAAGCGGAGGAAAAGAAACUAACAAGGAUUCCCCUAGUAACGGCGAGUGAAGCGGGAAGAGCUCAAAUUUGAAAUCUUAAAGGGUUUCCCUUUACGAAUUGUAGUUUAAAGAAGUGUUUUCUGUUGAGGUUUUGGUAAAAGUUCUUUGGAAUAGGACAUCAUAGAGGGUGAGAAUCCCGUAUUUGACCUUUACUUUCAACUUUGUGAUACACUUUCAAAGAGUCGGAUUGUUUGGGAAUGCAGUCCAAAAUGGGUGGUAAAUUUCAUCUAAAGCUAAAUAUUGGCGAGAGACCGAUAGCGAACAAGUACCGUGAGGGAAAGAUGAAAAGAACUUUGAAAAGAGAGUUAAACAGUACGUGAAAUUGUCAAAAGGGAAGCGUUUGACACCAGUGUUGUUUUUCUGAAAAUCAAUUAAAGAACUGUUUAUGCUAAGUUGUUUAGACUUUAUCAGCUAACUGUUUAGUUUUGAGCUUUUCUUUAAUGCACUUUUCAGUUAACCAAGUCAACAUCAAUUUCUUCUGCUGUAAAAAAGCUUGAGGAAGGUGGCUUGAGAUUCGUCUUAAGUGUUUAUAGCCUCUUGCCUAUGCAGUCGGAGAGAUUGAGGUCUGCAGCGUAGAUCCUUCGGGGCUAAAUGCAUUUGUGCUAAGUCAUAGCAUUUUAUAGACAACUUGUUGACUAUGAUUUGUCUUGUAGCUUACUCGCUUAUGUUAUUUUACCUACGCUUAGGAUGUUGACAGCAGUAUAGACUG
rnacentral:rRNA from 1 species